UACCAGCUCUCCGAGUGGUAGGGAUGUUUAUUGGGCUUAAAGCGUCCGUAGCCGGCUUAGCAAGUCUCCUGUUAAAUUCAGCGACCUAAUCGUUGAGCCGCGGGAGAUACUACUAGGCUAGGAGGCGGGAGAGGUCAACGGUACUUCCGGGGUAGGGGUGAAAUCCUAUAAUCCCGGGAGGACCACCAGUGGCGAAGGCUGUUGACUAGAACGCGCUCGACGGUGAGGGACGAAAGCUGGGGGAGCGAACCGGAUUAGAUAUCCGGGUAGUCCCAGCUGUAAACGAUGCGAGCUAGGUGUUGGGGUGGCUACGUGCCACUUCAGUGCCGCAGGGAAGCCAUUAAGCUCGCCGCCUGGGGAGUACGGCCGCAAGGCUGAAACUUAAAGGAAUUGGCGGGGGAGCACCACAAGGCGUGAAGCUUGCGGUUC
rnacentral:rRNA from 1 species